ensembl:snRNA U6 U6 spliceosomal RNA
GUGCUUGCUUCAGCAGCACAUAUACUAAAAUUGAAAUGAUACAGAGACGAUUAGCAUGGCCCCUGAGCAAGGAUGACAUGCAAAUAAAAAUUUAAAAAUAAAA